CACUGCUCCAAUGAUCUCAGUGCAGCCAUGGAUCCCUAUGCCAUAUAAUCUACAGCUGCACCCACACCCGGCUGCUCUUCCCCGCUGCAAAGUCCAUGCUUUCCCUUGCCUCUCCCAUUUCCCGGGGGCACACAGAAGGCGAAGUCAUUCGCAAUGA
rnacentral:lncRNA from 1 species